rnacentral:rRNA from 1 species
UACAGAGGUCCCAAGCGUUUGUUCGGAUUCAUUGGGCGUAAAGGGUGCGUAGGCGGCGCGGUAAGUCGGGUGUGAAAUCUCGGGGCUUAACUCCGAAACUGCAUUCGAUACUGCCGUGCUUGAGGACUGGAGAGGAGACUGGAAUUUACGGUGUAGCGGUGAAAUGCGUAGAUAUCGUAAGGGAAGACCAGUGGCGAAGGCGGGGUCUUUGGACAGUUCCUGACGCUGAGGCACGAAGGCCAGGGGGGCAAACGGG